GGUAGUAUAGUUCAGUGGUAGAGUGUUUAACCAGCAUUCAUGAGACCCUGGGUUCAAUUCCCAGUACGAUAA
rnacentral:tRNA from 1 species